rnacentral:tRNA from 1 species
GAUAUAUUUUUUUAUUUAUGAAAUAAUUGUAUAUAUUGUAAAAUUUAUUUAAAUAAGGUAAUGAAAUACUAA